GGACUACAUUUCCCAGCGACCGCGGGGCCCGGAGAGGAACCGGGAAGCGCGAAGAUGGCGGUGGAUAAGGAGCUGCUGGAGCGGGACCUUUACGGGCUGCUGGGGAUCGGCGAGAAGGCGUCCGAGAAGGAGGUGAAGACAGCGUUCCGGCAGAAGGCCCUGACCUGCCACCCGGACAAGAACCCCGACAACCCCCGGGCAGCGGAAAUCUUCCACCAGCUGUCCCAGGCUUUGGCCGUGCUCACAGAUGCAGCAGCCAGGGCAGCCUACGACAGGGUGAGGAGGGCGAAGAAGGAGGCUGCAGCGAGGACACAGAAACUCGAUGAGAAGAGGAAGAAAGUAAAGCUUGAUCUUGAAGCCAGAGAACGGGAAGCCCAGGCUCAGGAGAAUGAAGAGGAGGAGAUCAGGAUAACGAGAUCAUUAGAAGAAGAAAUAAUCCGCCUUCGUGAGGAGGGCUCCCGGCAGCUGGAGGAGCAGCAGAGGCUCGUCAGGGAGCAGAUCCGCCUGGAAAGGGAGCAGCACGGCCGAGGCAAGCAGGAAAGAAAUGGAGCAGAAGGCAAAAUAACUCCUAAGCUCAAGCUCAGGUGGAAAUGCAGGAAGGAAGAUGAGACGGGAGGGGGAUACUCCAAAGAUGUGCUGCUGCAGAUCCUGCAAAAGUAUGGUGAUGUGCUCAAUUUGUUGAUCUCCAGCAGGAAGACUGGGAGUGCAGUGGUGGAAUUUGCCACGGUGAAGGCAGCUGAGAUGGCUGUGAAGAAUGAAGUUGGUCUGCUAAAUAACCCUCUGAAGAUUUCCUGGCUGGAGGGCCAGCCCCAGAGCUGCCCCAGCACCGUCCUCCCUGACAGCACCAGCCAGCCCAGGACUUCACAGGUGAUAAAUCCACUGCUGGUGUUGUAUCAGGAGCCUACUUGGAUGCUUACCUGUUUCCAGGCUGGGAGCGCCGCCUGCACUGGAGCUAAGGGAAAAGAAACCCACAAGGAGGAAGAGGAAAAACGGAGGAGCAGCUUUGAGCUUUCACAUCCAAACGUGGUGGGAGGAGAAGCCCCAGUUCCCGUCUCUCAGCCCUCAAAGCUCUGGGGUGCAGUGCUGCUGCCUCCUUGCAGGCUGCCCGCUGUUCCACAAGUGAUCCAUGACAAAUCUCUGUGUGUCCCUGUCCCGCAGUGUCACAUCCCCAAAAUAAGUCUUUCCCCAAAAAUGCCAGUCCUCCCCGGGGUGGAGAGUGGAAAGUUGCCCACGAGACAGCAGACGGUGCUCUCACCUGAGCACGGAGCCUGUGAGCUCUGCUCCAGAGGAUUCCUCGGCAAGGACAGGGAUGGUCUGUGGUGGGUGAGGCGAGGACAACGAAACAGACCACACACAACAGGCAUACUCCAGUAUCCUUCCUCCCGCCGCAGUCGGAGGAACUGGCAGCAGCAGCGAGUAACUGGGAUGCGAUGGACAAGGAAUACCUUCAAAUGGCGUAGUCCCUUGGGUUCUGUUUUCUGAGGGUCUGCAGCACGUCCUCGAGGAGCGAUAGCCCCAAAUCCACUUUGAAGGACAGGAAGGGGUCAGCCAGGUCGGGAAGAGUGGUGCUGUUCGGGAGACCUGCCUCUGAGGUGCCGUGGUCUGUAUCCUGGUCCUUGCGCGUUGGAGUGGCUUUGUGGUACGGAGCAGCAUCGGAAAAGGAGAGGUCGGAGUGGGAGUCUGUGUGAUCGAUGAUGUUGGGGCAGCUGGAACUGUCCAGGUACAGCCGGGGAGGCUUGGGAGGGGCUUGUGCCUUGGCCAGGUUCUGCUCACUCUGACAGGACAGGUACUCGGACUUGUCCUUCAGAUCCCUCAAGCAUUCCCUCUUCUGGCCGUCCGUGUCCAGAGUGUGGCUGUUCUGGUUCAGGAUGAUGACUUGGUUGCCCAGCUUUUUGUGCCUCCUGAGGGAGAAGCGUCGGAAGAAGGUGGUGGACUUGAUGGACCCCCUGCGCCAAGUAUCCAUGCUGAGGAAAGGCAGAAAGGAGCAGGAAUGCCGGCUCCUCACAGGCGGGAGCCGAGGGAUCGGCAGAGAGCCACGCAACAGGAACAACCUCUCCCUGCCCCGUUCCCAGAGCUGCAAGGGAAACAGAGGGGCUGGUAGUGCAGGAAAUGCAAACUCCGCGCCGUGGCAAGGAGCGCUUGGCUUGUCUCGGAUCUCAGGGAGUCUCCCCCUGGAGUGGAGAAGGAGCGGCGGUGCGCGAGUGAGCGAGCUCGUCGAACGUGUGCUGCAGCUCCGGGCUGGUGGGGAACAGCAGAGGCACAGUCACCAUGAGAACAGAUCUAAUCUGGCAUCUAGAACAGAAGGGCACUCGGGUGCCAUGGAAACCGGGCACCUUCUGCGGAGGGGCACCGCCGGAAAAGCGUCGUGGGUGGCUGGGAACGAGACGGUGACUCAGUCCCACCGAAGGAACCCAGGGAAUACAGGAGAAGGGGGAUGUAAAAAGCGACGACAAGGCGGGAGACAACGCUGGGAGAGCGGAGUGCAAAGGAGACUUACGCCCUGUUGGAGCAGCCCGGAGUCCAGGAGCGGAGAGGAGAAGCUGCUGGGGCACUCGGAGAACUGGGCUUGCCACGCUCACCAGGAUGGAGCAGCAAGUCCAGGGAGAGCUCAGCCAGGAGCCCGGCAAUUCAGCCAGGUUGGACCCAGAAUGCCAAAACUGCCCAGCGCCGCCGCCGUGCCUUCAUGUGCCACCCGUCGCUGCUUCCCGGGCUGCGGCUCCCUGCGUGGAUGUGUUUGUUUUGAGCCAAGCCCUUGCUGAGUCAGCCACGUCAGAAACUGGGUUUUACUCGAUUGGUAAUUGCCAGGAUUGCAGGAAGUAGGUGUGUGGAGUGGCAGAGCCUCAGCCCACGCUCAGGCACCCGGGAGCACGUGCUGGGAGCCCACCUGGAUCAGGCUGUUCUCCGUCCCGCCACUCCGAGGGCUCCUCGUGUCAGCAGAGCUCCCAAACCAGGCUGCAAAUAAUCUCCUGGCUGUUUUAAAUUUCAAUCCCAGUGCGAGGUGGGGCUUCAGGUUUGUGUGGGUGAUUCAUAUGCAUGAGUCUCAGGCAGCGUCUUCCAUCCAGCCCAGCAAAUUCCUGGGGUUGGCGGAUGGGACUUGGAAGGAUCCCGGCUGAGGGCUGAUACCAUCGGUGCUUUCUCAGACACUGCUGCUGCCAGUACCCAAAGGCGUCCGUGGUGUCGGAGCGGGACUACGAGAGCCUGGUGAUGAUGAGGAUGCGCCAGGCAGCCGAGAGGCAGCAGCUCAUCGAGCAGCUCCAGAGGGAAGACGAGGAGGAGAAGUCCCACACUUAACAUGAGAGUAUGGAUUCUCCUCGCCCCUCCACCCACCCCGAGCUGUUUCUUAAUUUAAGUCAAUAAACCUCCUUUUUU